AAUAUAAAUAAUAAAAGAAAUAAAACACAUAAACCACACACAAACCGCCAUUCACAUACACACACCGUGACACAUGCACACACACAACCCUCCGCCGGCGACACCGGCCUCUGCCGACCACCGCCCUCCACCGAACGUGGAGGCCCUUCCUUGUCUUCCUCUGUGUCUCAACACUUCUCUCCCCCUACACACGCACACAUACAUUCAUCUCUGUAUAGCGUUGUCCCGCUGAUUCUGCCUCCGCCGUCGCUGGACUUUGGAUCUCUUGGAUAGUCUUGUCUAUUCUCUACAAGCUUCUGGAUGAAAUAAUGGAGCAUAUCUGCAAAGUUGUGGGCAAUGUCGUGAAAAUUUGAGGUAGUACUAUUGCAUUAUUCUUUUCCGAGUGACAAUCUGCCACAAUCAGGAACCCUGUAUGAGAUUAAAAAGAAUCAACGCCUUCACAACUACUUAUCAAUUUACGGUGGUUUCCUUCAUAUUUACCAUUUUGCUCGUGAUAAUAAAAUUUAUGUUUUGUUUGAUACUGUUUAAAUUUUGGAAAUGUUGUAUACACACUAUUUACAUCUACAAAAUUAGCGAAUUAGUGUUCAUGAGCAGAUUUAGUUGAAGGAUUAGUCGAUAAAGAGAUGGCAGGUCGUUACGAUCAGAAUCCAUUUGCUGUAAGUGUUUCCUCUUCUUCUGGCAUCAAUUGUUCAAUGUUUGGUGGGAUUAGCAUUUUUUGCUUUUAAUUAUUUGUGAAUGUAGUUAGUUUUGUGUACUCUUGAGAUGAAGAAUUUGAAUUUAAGAUAGGGUUUUUGAGGAUGAUCAGACUUAGGCUGACUAUGUGGCCUGAUCUAGUAAUUCAAGAGCUCUUGCUCAAAAAAUAUACGAAUUCGAGAGCUAAAUUUGAGAGGUUUCUAAUAGUACCUUCGGAUUGUAGUUUGAGAAAAAAAAAUGAAUGAUAAACAUACUCUAUUUGCAUUUGGAGUAAUUCUUGUUAUGAAUGAUUGUGGAUUUGGGAAAUUUUGUAUCUUUUGUGACUCCAUUUAUGAAUAAUUUUCUUUAUAUGCUUCAAUUUGAGAACCAAGUAGUCUAUUGUGGUUAUUUUAGAUGAUAUUGUCUAUGGAAGAGAGUCAUGUUUUUUUACUUUGUAGCAAAUAGCAAAAUUUACUUUAUAAUCAAAGGUUUAUUGGUGGUUUCCUUUUCUCUUAAUUUGCCUCUCUUUGGAUGAACUAGCAGAAUCUUUUCUUUGGGGAUCUAUAUCAUUUGUGAGAUAUGAAAGUGAAGAUCUAUGUUGGGAGAACAUGCAGAAUCUGAGUAAUGAAAGGUAUGCAUUUAAAAGUUAUAUUCGCAUAUACCCAAUUACAUAUACAAAUUGCUAUGAGUACUUACUUGGAAACUGUUGCCACUCUCAAGGAAACAAAUAUAAGAUCGAUUGGUAUUGUGUUUGAAUCGAAUGCUAUUGUUGAAGAGGUUUGUUACUGCUAGCAUAAUUUACAUGGUGUUGUAUUUAAAUUGUUUUGCUAUUGCUAUAUGGGGCAUGUUCUUGCAAAGGUGCUAACAGGAAAAGAGAAGACCAACGGAGGAAACACGGUGAUGAGGCUGCGAGGGAUGGUAUAGCUGAAAAAGAGAAUGCGAGGGAUGGUAUAGCUGGAAAAGAGAAGGCCGACGAAGGAAACACAGUGAUUAGGAUUAAUAAUUUGUAGUACAGUAUUGUUUUUACAGAAGUAAAAGAUGACCAACACUUGUUUAGUUUGUGUGUUUAAACACAUUAGAUUUGGUGUAAUAUGAUUUGAUACUUUGGAUAUUAUCAAAAUUUUCCAUAUUAUUUGAAUGACUUAGUUUAUUAAA